UACGUAGGGGGCAAGCGUUGUCCGGAUUUAUUGGGCGUAAAGAGCGUGUAGGCGGCCAGGUAGGUCCGUUGUGAAAACUCGAGGCUCAACCUCGAGACGUCGAUGGAAACCAUCUGGCUAGAGUCCGGAAGAGGAGAGUGGAAUUCCUGGUGUAGCGGUGAAAUGCGCAGAUAUCAGGAAGAACACCUAUGGCGAAGGCAGCUCUCUGGGACGGUACUGAGCUGAGACGCGAAAGCUAGGGGAGCGAACGGG
rnacentral:rRNA from 1 species